AGCAGCCGCGGUAAUUCCAGCUCCAAUAGCGUAUAUUAAAGUUGCUGCAGUUAAAAAGCUCGUAGUUGAAUUUCGGGGUCAAUAUGUUGGUCGUGCCUUGGUACGUACUAGCUUAUUGAUUUCUCCUUUCUGACGAACCAUGAUGUCAUUAAUUUGGUGUCAUGGGGAAUCAGGACUGUUACUUUGAAAAAUUAGAGUAGUUUAAAGCAGGCUCGCGCUUGAAUACAUUAGCAUGGAAUAAUGAAAUAGGACAUUUGAUUCUAUUUUGUUGGUUUCUAGGAUCGACGUAAUGAUUAAUAGGGAUAGUUGGGGGCAUUAGUAUUCAAUUGUCAGAGGUGAAAUUCUUGGAUUUAUUGAAGACUAACUACUGCGAAAGCAUUUGCCAAGGAUGUCUUCAUUAAUCAAGA
rnacentral:rRNA from 1 species